GAAGGGGGCGAGCGUUGUUCGGAUUUACUGGGCGUAAAGGGCGCGCAGGCGGCCGUUUUUGUCGAGUGUGAAAGCCCCGGGCUCAACCUGGGAACUGCGCUCGAAACGGGACGGCUAGAGUUCGGGAGAGGAGAGUGGAAUUCCCAGUGUAGAGGUGAAAUUCGUAGAUAUUGGGAAGAACACCGGUGGCGAAGGCGGCUCUCUGGACCGACACUGACGCUGAGGCGCGAAAGCGUGGGGAGCAAACAGGAUUAGAUACCCUGGUAGUCCACGCUGUAAACGAUGUGUGCUAGACGUUGGGGAGCCUAGCUCUUCGGUGUCGCAGCUAACGCGGUAAGCACACCGCCUGGGGAGUACGGCCGCAAGGUUA
rnacentral:rRNA from 1 species